rnacentral:misc_RNA from 1 species
CAACCAUCAAGCCCCCGGCUUGUGUUGGGGACCUGCGGCUGCCGCAGGCCCUGAAAACCAGUGGCGGGCUCGCUAGUCACUCCGAGCGUAGUAAUACAUCUCGCUCAGGGCGUGCUGCGGGUUCCGGCCGUUAAAACACCUUAUAACCCAA